rnacentral:rRNA from 1 species
CCUACGGGAGGCUGCAGUGGGGAAUAUUGCACAAUGGGGGAAACCCUGAUGCAGCGACGCCGCGUGAGUGAAGAAGUAUUUCGGUAUGUAAAGCUCUAUCAGCAGGGAAGUUAAUGACGGUACCUGAGUAAGAAGCCCCGGCUAACUACGUGCCAGCAGCCGCGGUAAUACGUAGGGGGCAAGCGUUAUCCGGAUUUACUGGGUGUAAAGGGAGUGUAGACGGCAUGGCAAGUCUGAAGUGAAAGCCCGGGGCUCAACCGGGGGACUGCUUUGGAAACUGUUAAGCUGGAGUGCAGGAGAGGUAGGGGGAAUGCCUGGUGUAGCGGUGAAAUGCGUAGAUAUUAGGAGGAACACC